rnacentral:rRNA from 1 species
GACGAACGCUGGCGGCGUGCUUAACACAUGCAAGUCGAACGGUAAGGCCCUUCGGGGUACACGAGUGGCGAACGGGUGAGUAACACGUGGGUGAUCUGCCCUGCACUUUGGGAUAAGCCUGGGAAACUGGGUCUAAUACCGGAUAGGACCAUGCGCUGCACGGUGUGGGGUGGAAAGCGUUUGCGGUGUGGGAUGGGCGCGCGGCCUAUCAGCUUGCUGGUGGGGUAAUGGCCUACCAAGGCGACGACGGGUAGGCGGCCUGAGAGGGUGACCGGCCACACUCGGACUGAGAUACGGCCCAGACUACUACGGUAGGCAGCAGUGGGGAAUAUUGCACAAUGGGCGCAAGCCUGAUGCAGCGACGCCGCGUGAGGGAUGACGGCCUUCGGGUUGUAAACCUCUUUCAGUAGGGACGAAGCGCAAGUGACGGUACCUACAGAAGAAGGACCGGCCAACUACGUGCCAGCCGCCGCCGUAA